GACGAACGCUGGCGGCGCGCCUAACACAUGCAAGUCGAACGAGCGAGAGAGAGCUUGCUUUCUUGAGCGAGUGGCGAACGGGUGAGUAACGCGUGAGGAACCUGCCUCAAAGAGGGGGACAACAGUUGGAAACGACUGCUAAUACCGCAUAAGCCCACGACCCGGCAUCGGGUUGAGGGAAAAGGAGCAAUCCGCUUUGAGAUGGCCUCGCGUCCGAUUAGCUAGUUGGUGAGGUAACGGCCCACCAAGGCGACGAUCGGUGGCCGGACUGAGAGGUUGAACGGCCACAUUGGGACUGAGACACGGCCCAGACUCCUACGGGAGGCAGCAGUGGGGAAUAUUGCACAAUGGGGGAAACCCUGAUGCAGCGACGCCGCGUGGAGGAAGAAGGUCUUCGGAUUGUAAACUCCUGUUGUUGAGGAAGAUAAUGACGGUACUCAACAAGGAAGUGACGGCUAACUACGUG
rnacentral:rRNA from 1 species